CAGCAGCCGCGGGAAUACGUAGGUGGCAAGCGUUGUCCGGAAUUAUUGGGCGUAAAGGGCUCGCAGGCGGUUUCUUAAGUCUGAUGUGAAAGCCCCCGGCUCAACCGGGGAGGGUCAUUGGAACCUGGGAAACUUGAGUGCAGAAGAGGAGAGUGGAAUUCCACGUGUAGCGGUGAAAUGCGUAGAGAUGUGGAGGAACACCAGUGGCGAAGGCGACUCUCUGGUCUGUAACUGACGCUGAGGAGCGAAAGCGUGGGGAGCGAACAGGAUUAGAUACCCCCGUAGUCCCUGUCUCUUAUAC
rnacentral:rRNA from 1 species